UUUUUGUAGAGACAGAGUCUUGCUAUGUUGCCCAGGCUGGUCUCAAACGCCUGGCCUCAAGAGAUCCUCCUGCCUCAGGCUCCCAACAUGCUGGAAUUACAGAUGUGAGCCACGCGCCUGGCAAGAACCUUCUAUCUUACACCACUCUUGUGGGGAGCUGAGGCCUCCUAUAUGAAGUCUGAGCUUAGACAUCAUUUCCUGGGUCCUUACGAAGAUGGACCAUCCUGUUCUCUUCCUGGCUGUCCUCUUCUCAGAGCCCACUGCACAGAUAGCUGCUUUGCACACACAAAUAGAACCUUCAAGUCUCAGCUCAGGGGUUUCUGUACAUUUCUGUAUUUGCAGCACUCAUUUUCCUGGCUUGAGGGCAAAUUAAUAGGAUGACAAACUGACUUCUGGAGUAGUUGAGGCUGUAAUACUCAAGGCUGCAUGAAGGAGCACCCAGAAAGGAUUCUAACAAG
rnacentral:lncRNA from 1 species